rnacentral:lncRNA from 1 species
UAAGGAUAAUUCAUCCAAAAAUAUGCUAAGCAUGGGGUAAAAAUAUGUAUAAAUUACGGUUUAUCAAGGUUCAAAUUGGAAAAUAAAUCCAAUAAUUCCACACGGGUGUGGGACAUGGGCGUGUCCCAAAGCACACAAGCGUGUGCAUUGCAUCCACACGGGCGUGUGAGGCUUUAACCUAGAAAUUUUCUUAGAAUUUUUGUGAGUCCUUGGUUUAGUCCCAGCCGGC